rfam:Schistosoma mansoni, Puerto Rico, WGS project CABG01000000 data, contig: 0671
GAUUAAUCCAUAUAUGUUUAAGUACAUAGCUCAAAAGAUGAUGCCGCGAAUGGUUCAUUACGUCAGCUAUGGUCUCUUAGACCGCAAUCGCUUUGUGGAUAACCGUAGUAAACGUAGAGCUAAUAUGUGCCUUGAAUCCCUUGUCCGCGAGGAAACGGGUGCAUCUAUCAGAAUAGAACUCACUAAGUGCGACUUCAUUUGUUCCUGUUGCAUUCCGAGCUGACUCUGGAUAACUUUGCUGAUCGCGAUUGGCUUUGUGUCGACGACAGGUCUUUCGAACCCCCGCCCUAUCAAUCUUUUGGUAGACGGCUUGUUAACCAUUAUGAUAACGAGUAAGGGAGAAUCAGGGUUCAAUUCCGGAGAGUGUUUGAGGAAUGGUUGCUGAUGUCCAAAAGCUAGUAGUUGGGUC